GGCUGCUAUUUGACUUCGCAGUCUUCUAGCUGCGUGGCGGAAAGACAUCGCCCUGGGCCAGUGGUGGCUCGCGGCGGCGCCCCGCCUUCCCGAGGUUGGCUCCCCAGCCAAAGAGGGGGCGCGCUUUGCGGUGGGUGGGUGGAGCCGCGAGUCUUGGUACCUCGCCAGCGGGCGGAGCGCCGAGGGGGUUUCACUUCGGGCAAAGGGACUGUGGUUGUGACAGCCAGGAAACCGAGAACGGAAUGCCAACACUGCCUGGGCUUAGAGCUUGAAAGGUGAAUUCUAUUUCUGCACUCUUGAAUCCGGGCCGACUGUGACUGCUCUGACAAAUAAAAUACAGUGAAGUCAUCCCUAACCUUUCAGAGGACUGGCAACUUCCACUCCCUGCCUCUUGGAAGUCUGGCACCAUGUAAGAAGAACAACCAUCCUGACUACUCUGCUAUGAGAAAGCAAGUUUUUGGCAACCUUAUUAAAGACAAAUGAUUGCUUACCCAUAUGUGUGGAGUCCUCAUUAGAGAAAAGGAGUUAGGUUGGUGGGACUGAGGGAAAGCAAAAAGAGAAAGCAGAUAAGCUAUAAGCCUGCCUUUCUUCAUGGUCCGGGACACCUAGCCCUUCUGCACAAAUAGCUCACAAUCUUCCUGCACCCAGCUAUCAGAAGAUACCUGCAAGUUAGCUCACUGCAACCCUGGCAUUGUCUGCGCAAAGCCCUCUUCAGCAUACAGCAUAAACACUCGUCUAUAAACUCUCCAGCAAGCCUUUAUUUCCUGACAGUCAGCAAUUCUUCUGCUGAUUCUACCAGUUGCUCCCUGGCAACAUAUUUUUAUACUUUCUCUAAUAAAUCUGCCUUUCUUUAUCUACAA